CCAUGGCCCAAAAAAGCAAAAAAAUUAAUGGACCAAUAUUCUAGUAAUUUCAAAGUUUUUUAUCGACUCAAUUAAACAAAAAAUUAAUGAAUUCAUAUUUUAAUUCUUAAAAAUUAGUUUUUAUUAACCUAACAAAAUUGAAAAAUUAGUUGCCCAUAUUUUUAAAUUUUCCUUUGGGUAAUAAAAAAAUAUUUAAAAAACACA
rnacentral:misc_RNA from 1 species